rnacentral:rRNA from 1 species
GACGAACGCUGGCGGCGUGCUUAACACAUGCAAGUCGAACGAUGAAGCGGUGCUUGCACCGUGGAUUAGUGGCGAACGGGUGAGUAAUACGUGAGUGACCUACCUUUGACUCUGGGAUAAGCCUGGGAAACUGGGUCUAAUACCGGAUACGACCAAUCUCUGCAUGGGGUGUUGGUGGAAAGCGUUAUGGAGUGGUUUUAGAUGGGCUCACGGCCUAUCAGCUUGUUGGUGGGGUAAUGGCUUACCAAGGCGACGACGGGUAGCCGGCCUGAGAGGGUGACCGGCCACACUGGGACUGAGACACGGCCCAGACUCCUACGGGAGGCAGCAGUGGGGAAUAUUGCACAAUGGGCGCAAGCCUGAUGCAGCGACGCCGCGUGAGGGAUGACGGCCUUCGGGUUGUAAACCUCUGUUAGCAUCGAAGAAGCGAAAGUGACGGUAGGUGCAGAGAAAGCGCCGGCUAACUACGUG